CAGAUCUCGGAUAUCUAAUUGUAACGUAGUUGUGUGGUAUAAAACAAAACUAUAAAAUCAGUCAGUGAAUGAUACGGUUGUUACAGAUCUCGGGACGUUAAUUUUAUGUACGAGUUCAUUCACGAUAGCUGGUUACAUGUAAUAAGUAGGUACCGAUAUAAAAUUGAACUAAAUUUAUACGAACUAGUUCAUUUGUUUUAAUGGACUUACUUAUUAGUUUGUAUUUACUUAAAAAAAGAACACAUUUUUUUCGAUAAUAUUAUUUAAUUAUUGGUUUUUAUUAGCUCUGCAAAGUCUCGGCAAUUUUAUU